UGAAGCAACUAGCGGAACCAACUGGCUC
rnacentral:piRNA from 1 species